rnacentral:rRNA from 1 species
UACGGAAGGCAGCAGUGGGGAAUAUUGCACAAUGGGCGCAAGCCUGAUGCAGCCAUGCCGCGUGUAUGAAGAAGGCCUUCGGGUUGUAAAGUACUUUCAGUCGUGAGGAAGGUGUUAAGGUUAAUAACCUUAGCAAUUGACGUUAGCGACAGAAGAAGCACCGGCUAACUCCGUGCCAGCAGCCGCGGUAAUACGGAGGGUGCGAGCGUUAAUCGGAAUUACUGGGCGUAAAGGGCACGCAGGCGGUUAAUUAAGUUGGAUGUGAAUCCCCGGGCUUAACCUGGGAAUGGCAUUCAAGACUGGUUAGCUAGAGUCUUGUAGAGGGGGUAGAAUUCCAUGUGUAGCGGUGAAAUGCGUAGAGAUGUGGAGGAAUACCGGGUGGCGAAGGCGGCCCCUGGACAAGACUGACGCUCAUGUGCGAAAGCGUGGGGAGCGAAACAGGGAUUAGAUACC